rnacentral:rRNA from 1 species
UGGGGGAAUAUUGCACAAUGGGCGAAAGCCUGAUGCAGCAACGCCGCGUGAGGGACGACGGCCUCGGGUUGUAAACCUCUUUAGCAAGGAAGAAGCGAAAGUGACGGUACUUGCAGAAAAAGCGCCGGCUAACUACGUGCCAGCAGCCGCGGUAAUACGUAGGGCGCAAGCGUUAUCCGGAAUUAUUGGGCGUAAAGAGCUCGUAGGCGGUUUGUCGCGUCUGCUGUGAAAACCCGAGGCUCAACCUCGGGCCUGCAGUGGGUACGGGCAGACUAGAGUGCGGUAGGGGAGAUUGGAACUCCUGGUGUAGCGGUGGAAUGCGCAGAUAUCAGGAAGAACACCGAUGGCGAAGGCAGAUCUCUGGGCCGUAACUGACGCUGAGGAGCGAAAGGGUGGGGAGCAAACAGGCUUAGAUGACCCCUGGUAGUCCACCCCGUAAACGUUGGGAACUAGUUGUGGGGUCCAUUCCACGGAUUCCGUGACGCAGCUAACGCAUUAAGUUCCCCGCCUGGGGAGUACGGCCGCAAGGCUAAAACUU